rnacentral:lncRNA from 1 species
UGUAAGCCUGCUUUGCAAGACAGCCCAGCAAACUUGUCAGUUACAAACUUUGCUGCAAGUCCCUGAAAAAUAACUGGAUAAGGUUUCCCUUGUCUUGUCACAAUUGGAGAAACUGGCUAUUUUACCAAGGCUUCGACUGGAAUGGCAUACCUUAAGGAAUCAUAUAUCAACUUUUGUUGGAACUCAGAGUUAUGAAUGGCCCUCGCCAUGCCGAUGCUUUCUGAUUAAGCACCUCUGUACCCUGAACACAAGAGAGAGAGACCCUAAUAGUUAGGCAGGAAUAUCAUUGCCCCUAUUCAGCCUGAAGAAAUUACAAAAGAUGGAUUUUUGUCCCUCUGCACCCCUUAGGAUCAAGGGUUCUCUUAUAAAAGGGAGAGGGAAAAUGUCAGAGGCAUUUGAACCAGAGCAACUCCAUCUUAAAUAG